GCCACCACGCGAAGGCACUGGGGCACAGCCAGCGCGAGGCGAGGAGGUCUCUUCCCAGGGCUUGUUAACACUGUAACCCGGCGCUCAGAGAGCAGCGUCUCCCACUGCCCAAGCCUGCCUAGCCGCCCAUCGGAUGACUCCUGGCUUCUGCACACAGUUGGAGUUCCGCCGGCAACCUGGAUUUAGAGGGGUUCGCUCGCUGCCAUGACACUCAAUCAAAGCACCUAGAGUGGGCAGCCCAUGACCAGAGUGGGCAGAAAGCAGAGCAAGUACUAAGGAGAGCGCCGGGCGAUCACCAGAAUUGGAAAUAGAACAGCCAUUUGGAGGAUCUGGGCAGGAAGCAGCAGAGCACAGCUUUGGAGCCUUCUUUAGGGAAAUCGAGUUAUGGAUUUAUGGUCCCGGUCAAGCUC